rnacentral:rRNA from 1 species
UACGGAGGGUGCAAGCGUUAUCCGGAUUCACUGGGUUUAAAGGGUGCGUAGGUGGGUCUGUAAGUCAGUGGUGAAAUCUCCGUGCUUAACAUGGAAACUGCCAUUGAUACUAUAGAUCUUGAAUUUUCUGGAGGUAAGCGGAAUAUGUCAUGUAGCGGUGAAAUGACUUAGAUAUGACAUAGAACACCAAAUUGCGAAGGCAGCUUACUACGGGAACAUUGACACUGAGGCACGAAAGCGUGGGGAUCAAACAGG